UGGACUUUAUUUGCGCAGCAUAGGUGGGAGGCAUUGAGUUUAUUCUUGCGGGAAUUUAGGAGCCAUCAGUGAGAUACCACUCUGGUAAUGUUAGAUUUCUAACUUUGUAUCAUGAUCUGGUCAAAGAACAGUUUCAGGCGGGCAGUUUGACUGGGGCGGUCGCCUCCCAAAUGGUAACGGAGGCGUACAAAGGUUUCCUCUGAACGUGUAGAAAUCGUAUCUAGAGUGUAAAGGCAUAAGGAAGCUUGACUGUGAGACCUACAAGUCGAGCAGGGACGAAAGUCGGUCUUAGUGAUCUGACGGUGCUGAGUGGAAAGGCCGUCACUCAACGGAUAAAAGUUACUCUAGGGACAACAGGCGGA
rnacentral:rRNA from 1 species